UACGUAGGGGGCAAGCGUUGUCCGGAAUCAUUGGGCGUAAAGCGCGCGUAGGCGGCCCGGUAAGUCCGCUGUAAAAGUCCAGGGCUCAACCCUGGAAAGCCGGUGGAUACUGUCGGGCUAGAGUCCGGAAGAGGCGAGUGGAAUUCCUGGUGUAGCGGUGGAAUGCGCAGAUAUCAGGAAGAACACCAAUGGCGAAAGCAGCUUUCUGGGACGGUACUGACGCUGAGACGCGAAAGCGUGGGGAGCGAACAGG
rnacentral:rRNA from 1 species